rnacentral:misc_RNA from 1 species
CUCAAACCCACACCCACACAAAACACGCACACCACAACCAAGUGCCGAGAGUACCGAGAGUGUUCGCGCUGCUCGCUAACGUGCAUGUGUGCAUUACCGAGCCGUUCGCACCGCUACUCCACCGUCUGUCCAGCUACCCAUUUAAAGGGGAGUACCCAUCUUUUAUUUCACGGAAAGGUGUGUGCACCGUAGCCGUCUUGCUCUCUCUCUCUCUUCGCUGCUCUUGUCGAUUUAUCCUUAGACCCUCGUGCCUUCCCAAACACAUCUGUUGUUCGCCCUUUGCCUGAGUGUUUAUCCAUUCUUCGUGUGCUCUCUUUCAUUGGCUUCUCUUUCCUUCGAUCUUUCUCUUGUGUAGAAUCGUAUCCCACGUUGCCGUCCACUCCCUUUCGACGCACUCUUGCCUGUGCCGUCGCUGUCCUCAAUACGGCCGCCCCGGCUUCUCCUCCAGCUCACUUUCCUUUUCUCUCUCUCCCUUUUUGCUCUACUGUUUGGCGUUUCAUCUGUGCCCUUUACGAGCGUUAUCAG